rnacentral:rRNA from 1 species
GACGAACGCUGGCGGCGUGCUUAACACAUGCAAGUCGAACGGAAAGGAGCAGCUUUUGUGGGCUGCUCGAGUGGCGAACGAGUGAGUAACACGUGAGUACCCUGACCCUGCCUUUAGGAUCACUUCAGGAAACUGGAGCUACUACCGACUCGGAGCUCCUGCUGAAUGCUGGGGGUCGGAUCGUAUAGGCGGUUGGGGAUGGACUCGCGGCUUCUCAGCAUGUUGGUGGGGUAGUGGCUUACCAAGGCUUUGACGGGUAGCCGGCCUGAGACGGUGACCGGCCACAUUGGGACGGAGCUGCGGCCCAGUCGCCUACGGGAGCCAGCAGCGGGGAAUAUUGGACGAUGGGCGGCAGCCUGGUGCAGGAACGCCGCGUCGGGAACGACGGCCAUCCGGUUGUAAACGGCAGCCGCCUAGGACCAAGCGGGAGUGACGGUAACGGGAAAGCAAGCACCGGCUAACUACGUG